UUUGCCAUCAGAAGAAACUUAUCUGGUGGUAAUGAACGUGGGUUCGGAGGAUGAGUUUGUCAACUUGAGUGAUUGGCCAAUUGCGGUCAAAGAAGAAACAUGGCUGGUACACACGCCAAGUCUCAAUUCACAAUUCUCAAUAGGACAUUUACUAAAGACAAGUGGAUUUAUGAUGAGACCUAAAUCGGCCAUGGUUUUGUGUAACAAAAAACAUUCAUUGGUUUUGUCGUCGACUUUAUCAUCAACCUCUUCGAUAUCCUCGUCUUCGUUGGUGUUUCCGGUAGCAAUGUUCGUGAUUGCCUUGGGUUACAGUUAUAUGUUUUCUAAGCAGUAGUUGUCAUUUGUGUAUGAAAAUCAAUUAUUUUUGAGAAUGUUAAUUGAUUCAAAAAAACGCUAUUGCAAUGAGUUUUGUUGCUUCAUUCUAUUGGGCUUCUUCUUUAGUGGUUGCAUGCAGAUAACAGUCUUUUGUUUUUAAUACUAUCAAAAAUAAAAACAUUAUCUUGUAAAAUGUACCUCAAUAUAUUGAGGUAUCUCCUGACCCUUAAACAAAAUUAUAAAAUUUUGUUUUUUUCAGACUGCAAUAUAAUUCUUCUUCUUGGAAAUAUUAUUUUAAAUAUUUAAGAAUUUAUCAACAUGAAAUAGUAUGUAGGUAUAGCAUUACAAUGGCUAUCUAAUAAUUUUAAAAUAAACAAUUAAACA